AGAAGAUAAAGGAGGGAUCUGGCUAUAGUCUGAGAACAGUGCAGAUAGGUGGGAGACUCUGAUGGCCAGAAGCUGAAUUAAAACAAGCUUUGACAUGAACAAACAUCUGAGUUUCACAGUUCUACUCUUACAAAUAUGACUAAUAUUAGUGUAGAAAGAUGGAAGAACCUGGAAGAGAGGACAGACAAGAAUACCAGCCUUUUGGAAAAAGUCCUUCAUUGUCUCCAUCGUCGAUGUCCUGUGACAUGAGAGCAACUGAUGUGAGCAUGCUCUCAUGACUUGGGAGUACCACCAAGCACCCAGAGUUGCAGGCGUGUUAUUAUUUUCUUCCCUCUCACAACAAGCAAACAUACAGUUUUCUGUCAUUCUGUACUCCAGAACUUCGAGCAUUUUAGAAGCAGGUAGAACUCUGCCUGAAGUAAAAAUUUUCAUUUCCUGGACAUGAACUACAUAAUGAAGCCAUUAAUCAUAGACUGCCAUUGAAGGGAGUCAAACUUAGUUUGCUCAGAAGCCACCUACAAAGCAUAAGGUAUGAUUAAAACAAUAUAUUGUGAAGUAAGGUGAGACUAAAACAGUAUUUUCUGAAAAGUCUUUGAUUCUUUCCCUUUUCAACUACAAACAAUACUAAUUACAGGAGGGGCAGAGAAGCAAAAUAAUAGCAGUUACCCUAAUUAUCUGGAGUCUCUGUUUUGUGUUGGAUGGAUGCUUUAGGUGUGCUUACUAUCUGUUUGAUUUCAUUAAUGAUACUUCAUAAAUUAUAAUGCAAAUAAAGAAUGCAGAUGGGAAUGAUUUCA
rnacentral:lncRNA from 1 species